UACAGAGGUCUCAAGCGUUUGUUCGGAUUCAUUGGGCGUAAAGGGUGCGUAGGCGGCGCGGUAAGUCGGGUGUGAAAUUUCGGAGCUUAACUCCGAAACUGCAUUCGAUACUGCGGUGCUUGAGGACUGGAGAGGAGACUGGAAUUCAUGGUGUAGCAGUGAAAUGCGUAGAGAUCAUGAGGAAGACCAGUGGCGAAGGCGGGUCUCUGGACAGUUCCUGACACUGAGACACGAAGGCCAGGGGAGCAAACGGG
rnacentral:rRNA from 1 species